GCCAGUGUGGUGUAGUGGUUUGAGUAUUAGACUAUGACUCUGAAGACCAGAGUUCAAAUCCCUGUUUGGUCA